ACGCACGCUGGCGGCGUGCCUCAUCCAUGCAAGUAGAACGCUGAAGAGAGGAGCUUGCUCUUCUUGGAUGAGUUGCGAACGGGUGAGUAACGCGUAGGUAACCUGCCUUGUAGCGGGGGAUAACUAUUGGAAACGAUAGCUAAUACCGCAUAACAAUGGAUGACACAUGUCAUUUAUUUGAAAGGGGCAAUUGCUCCACUACAAGAUGGACCUGCGUUGUAUUAGCUAGUAGGUGAGGUAAUGGCUCACCUAGGCGACGAUACAUAGCCGACCUGAGAGGGUGAUCGGCCACACUGGGACUGAGACACGGCCCAGACUCCUACGGGAGGCAGCAGUAGGGAAUCUUCGGCAAUGGGGGCAACCCUGACCGAGCAACGCCGCGUGAGUGAAGAAGGUUUUCGGAUCGUAAAGCUCUGUUGUAAGUCAAGAACGGGUGUGAGAGUGGAAAGUUCACACUGUGACGGUAGCUUACCAGAAAGGGACGGCUAACUACGUG
rnacentral:rRNA from 1 species